UACGUAGGUGGCAAGCGAUACUCGGAAUCACUAGGCGUAAAGCGCAGGUAGGAGGUUUGGAAAGUCUCUUGUGAAAGCUCCCGGCUCAACUGGGAGAGGUCAAGGGAAACUACCAGGCUAGAGUGCGGUAGAGGUAGCUGGAAUUCCCGGUGUAGCGGUGAAAUGCGUAGAUAUCCGGAGGAACACCAGUGGCGAAGGCGACUUCCUGGCCUGUUCUUGACGCUGAGGCGCGAAAGCUGGGGGAGCAAACGGG
rnacentral:rRNA from 1 species